GGAGACGGGAGGAGUUUUGUCUACACUCUGCAGCUGGCUGCCUUCCCAUGCAAAUGAUGCAUGAGGAUUAGCUUCCGUGCCAAACUGUACCAGGCUGCUGGGAGCUUGGUGCUUUACUGAUUGUUCUCCUGAGGUGGAAGAUUGGAAUAGUGAACAGUUACAGAUGUCUUCACAUCUGUGAAGUUUUAUCUUCUUCAGAAUCAAGAGAACAAUUUCAAUUAAAUAUUGCAGUCUCAACUCCUCUGGAACUACCAGAAAACUGGCAUUGAGCAAUGACCGGGCCAAAGGCAGUAUGUGAUGAUGAGUUUAGACAAGCAGUCGGUGCAAUUCAGAGGUACUAUCUCCCUUUCAAAUGUCACACCCCAGUGAAAAAUCUGGGAACUGGAAAUACCACUCUGACACAACCAGAUAGCAGCAAAAAUAUUACUCCCAUGUUGAAUGAAUUAUAUACA